AGAGGAUAGCUCAUUGGUAGAGUGCACGCUUAGCAUGCACAAGGCUCUGGGUUCAAUUCCCAGUACCUCCA
rnacentral:tRNA from 1 species